rnacentral:tRNA from 1 species
GCCGGGCUAGCUCAGU